rnacentral:tRNA from 1 species
AAAGAAUUAGUUAAAWUAUAACAUUAGAAUGUCAAACUAAAAUUAUUAAAUCAUUAAUAUUCUUUA